CAGUCGCCGCGGUAAUACGAAGGGUGCAAGCGUUAAUCGGAAUUACUGGGCGUAAAGCGCGCGUAGGUGGUUCGCCAAGUUGGAUGUGAAAUCCCCGGGCUCAACCUGGGAACUGCAUCCAAAACUGGCGAGCUAGAGUAUGGUAGAGGGUGGUGGAAUUUCCUGUGUAGCGGUGAAAUGCGUAGAUAUAGGAAGGAACAUCAGUGGCGAAGGCAGCCAUCUGGCCUAAUACUGACGCUGAGGUACGAAAGCAUGGGGAGCAAACAGGAUUAGAUACCCCAGUAGUCCCUGUCUCUUAUAC
rnacentral:rRNA from 1 species